rnacentral:rRNA from 1 species
GGUUAAGCGACUAAGCGUACACGGUGGAUGCCCUGGCAGUCAGAGGCGAUGAAGGACGUGCUAAUCUGCGAUAAGCGUCGGUAAGGUGAUAUGAACCGUUAUAACCGGCGAUUUCCGAAUGGGGAAACCCAGUGUGAUUCGUCACACUAUCAUUAACUGAAUCCAUAGGUUAAUGAGGCGAACCGGGGGAACUGAAACAUCUAAGUACCCCGAGGAAAAGAAAUCAACCGAGAUUCCCCCAGUAGCGGCGAGCGAACGGGGAGCAGCCCAGAGCCUGAAUCAGUGUGUGUGUUAGUGGAAGCGUCUGGAAAGGCGCGCGAUACAGGGUGACAGCCCCGUACACAAAAAUGCACAUGCUGUGAGCUCGAUGAGUAGGGCGGGACACGUGGUAUCCUGUCUGAAUAUGGGGGGACCAUCCUCCAAGGCUAAAUACUCCUGACUGACCGAUAGUGAACCAGUACCGUGAGGGAAAGGCGAAAAGAACCCCGGCGAGGGGAGUGAAAAAGAACCUGAAACCGUGUACGUACAAGCAGUGGGAGCACGCUUAGGCGUGUGACUGCGUACCUUUUGUAUAAUGGGUCAGCGACUUAUAUUCUGUAGCAAGGUUAACCGAAUAGGGGAGCCGAAGGGAAACCGAGUCUUAACUGGGCGUUAAGUUGCAGGGUAUAGACCCGAAACCCGGUGAUCUAGCCAUGGGCAGGUUGAAGGUUGGGUAACACUAACUGGAGGACCGAACCGACUAAUGUUGAAAAAUUAGCGGAUGACUUGUGGCUGGGGGUGAAAGGCCAAUCAAACCGGGAGAUAGCUGGUUCUCCCCGAAAGCUAUUUAGGUAGCGCCUCGUGAACUCAUCUCCGGGGGUAGAGCACUGUUUCGGCAAGGGGGUCAUCCCGACUUACCAACCCGAUGCAAACUGCGAAUACCGGAGAAUGUUAUCACGGGAGACACACGGCGGGUGCUAACGUCCGUCGUGAAGAGGGAAACAACCCAGACCGCCAGCUAAGGUCCCAAAGUCAUGGUUAAGUGGGAAACGAUGUGGGAAGGCCCAGACAGCCAGGAUGUUGGCUUAGAAGCAGCCAUCAUUUAAAGAAAGCGUAAUAGCUCACUGGUCGAGUCGGCCUGCGCGGAAGAUGUAACGGGGCUAAACCAUGCACCGAAGCUGCGGCAGCGACGCU